CUGGGGAUUGAACCCAGAGGUGCUUAACCACUGAGCCACAUCACCAGCCCUUUUAUAUUUUAUUUAGAGACAGGGUCUCUCUGAGUUACUUAGGGCCUCAUUAAGUUGCUAAGGCUGGCUGUGAACUCUCGAUCCUCCUGCCUCAGCCUCCCUAGACACUGGGAUUACAGAUGUGUGCACCACCACAUCUGGCCUUGAGUUAGUUUUGUAUGAAGUGUGAGCUUUAGGUUGAGGCUCAUUUUAAUUUUUCUUCUUGCCAAUGGAGGUCUAAUUACUUCAGCAUCAUUUGUCGAAAAUGCUGUCCUUCCUCCAUUGAAUUGCCUGGCAUGUUUAUGUUCAUUUUGUUCCACUGAGCUCUGUAUCUGUCCUUCUGCAAAUAUUGCACUCUCUUGAUUACUGUAGCUGUAUUGUAAGCCUUAAUAUCUAUCCAGCAAAGUGAUUUGUCCUACUUACUUCUUCAUCAAGAUUCUCUUACCUAUUGUAGGACCUUUGCCUUUACAUGCAAAUUACAGAGUAAGUUGAACUGUGUCUGAAGUAAAUUGUGUUUUGCCAGAAAUUACAUUAAAUGUAAUAUUAGUUUGAAAGGGAUUGUCAUGUUUAUUGUGUUGAUUCUCCCAAUCCAUGAACACAGUAUAUCUCUAUUUAUUUAAGUCUUUGAUUUCUUUCCUCACUUUUUUAUAAUUUUCAGUGUAUAGAUAUUCUACAUGUUAAGUGCAUGCAUAAGUUUUUCAUUUUCAUGGAACAAUUCCUUUUAUUUUCUUGCUUAUUGCAUUAGCUUUAACUUCUGGUACUAUGUUGAAUUAGAGUGGCAAGAGAAACAUCUUUGACUUGUUUCCAAUUUAGCAUGAAAACAUUCAGUCUUUCACCGUUACCUAAGAUAUUAGCACUGUUUUUUUGUUGUUGAUAUUCUUUAUCAAGUUGAUAUAAUUCCUAAUUUUACCACUGUUUUCAUCAUGAAUGGAUGUGGCAUUUUGUCAGAUGCUUUUUCUGUGUCAGUUGAUAGGUACAUAUGAUCUUUCUUCUUUAGUUUGUUGAAAUGGUGGAUUAUGUGGAUUGAUUUUCAUAUGUUGAACCAGAUUUGCAUACCUGCAAUAAAUCCGGCUUUGUCAUGGUAUAUAAAUCUCAUAACUUAACUGCAAUCUCAUUGACUUACUGCAUUCAGUUAGUCAAUAUUUGCUGACAAUUUUUGUGUUUAAGUUCAUGGGAAAUGCGACUCUAUAGUUUCCUUUUUUACUACUGUCUUUGUAUGUUUAUAGUAUCAAUGUGAUACUCGUCUUAUAAAAUGAGUUGGGUAGUAUUUCCUCCUCUUUUUUGGAAGAGAUCACAUAAAAUAGUUAAUUCUUUGAGUGUUUGGUAGAAUCCUCCAGUGACACCAUUUGUACUUGGAGAUUUUUUGAGGGGAGGACUUUUAAAUUGUGAGCUCCAUUUUUCUUUAAUGGUCAGCGUACCAUUCGGGAUCUAUUUCAUAUUGUUUGAAUCCUGGUAUUUGUACUUUUUUAGGAAAUAGUCCAUUAUAACUAACUUAAAAUUCAUGAAUGUAAAAUUCAUAGAAUUCCCUUACCUUCUUAUUUACAGAGUAUGUAGUAAUACACUAUUUCAUUCAAGAUAUUGGUGAUUUGUGUCUUCUCUUUCUUUUUGUCAGUCUUGAUAGAGGUUUACCAGCUAUUUUUUUUUUUUUUUAAGAAUGGGCUUGCUUUUUGUUUUAUUUUGGUUUCUGUCCUUUAUUAUUUUCCCUUUCAGCCUGCUUUGAGUUUAUCUUACUUUUAGUUCUUUGAGGUAGGAACUUAGAUUAUUGAUUUGAGAUACUUUUUUUUGUACCCAGGAGUACUUUACCACUGAGUUACAAUCCCAACCUUUUUUAUUCUGAGACAGGGUCUUACUAAGUUGCCCAGACUGGCCUCAAAUUUGCAGUCUUCCUGCCUCAUCCUUUCGAGUCACUGGGAUCACAGGCAUGUACCACUGUGCUUGGCCACCUUUCCUUUUUUCUAUUAUGAGCACUUAUGGAUACAACUUUCUUCUGAUCAUUUCUUUAACUAAAAUUAAUAUAUUUUGAUAUAUUUUAAUUUCAUUUUUAUUUAACUUUCAGUAUUCAAAAAUUUCCUUUGAGACUUUCUCUUUGGACCAUGGAUUGUUUAGAAGUGUAUUUCAUUUCCAUAUGUUUUAAAUUUUCCUAUUGCUUUUCUAGUUUGAUGACAUUUUUGUCAUGUUUCCCUUUCUUAUAGGUUGUGAUUUUUUUUGUUCUUGGCCUGAUGUGUGAUUAUUUAUUGUAUACAGAUAAUUUUGUGUAUUAGGAUAGAAGAGUCUGGUUCCUAUUUAAAUAUUUUAUUUUAGCAGGCAGUCACUGGGUUUUACUUUAGCACACAGGUUCUUUCUUACUUUUAUGAGGUAUUUCCACCAUGUGACCAGUGCACUGUUUUCAUUAAUGAGGUUCUUGGCAUAAAAGUUAGCUAGCGAGAUCGAAAUAAAACACACAGACUCAGUUACCUUUUUCUAUGACCAGGUCCGAGAUGGCUCCCCUCUCUGGUUCCCACCUCGAACCACCCGGUAGGGCAGCAAGGAUUACUCAGGGCUAGCAGGAGAGAGAGAGAUGGAGCACGCCAGGGAGUAGCCUUUUAUUGGGGAACAAGAAAUUCAGGGGAGAAUUCCAUCCAAUGAAGGUUGAGGGGGGCUGCACUCCAAGGUCAGGGUCAGUGAUUGGCCCCCAGGGUCAGUGGUCAGUCACACCCCCACACGGACGGGCUCUCUCAUCAGGAGAGGGCCAGGAAAGCUCCGACACAGAUUAGCCAGAGCGCCUCAGACCCAAACCGGGAGUUGCCCAGUCACGUGUGAGAAUGGCUUCCCACAUAUUCUCCCUUUCUUUUCUUAAAAAUGAGGCGGCGGUUCACUCUUUGGAGUUUCUGUAUUCUUGUUCCGAAGACUUGCCAUCCUAUAAUUACAACACAAAAGAGAAUUAACAGCAAGGAGAAUAAUCCAAUAAUGUACCAGGCUGAGUGUUUAAGAAUAUUACCAGGGUUGAAUCCAUUCAACUCCUUCAAUAUUUCGUUAGCCAAAGAAGAAGGAUCUGAAAAAUCAGCUCUAUUAUUUUGAAUGUCUUGGAUAUGGUGAUGAAGUUCCAGAAUAUCCAAGCUAUUAUUACUAUUUUGCCAAAUACCUAACAAAUGGUUUUUAACCUUCUCGCAAUCCCAGAGAGAAGCAUUGUACUUGUCAGCUGUAACACACACAUAUUUAUAAUUUGCAUGGCAUUUAAGCCUUUCUUUAAAUUUUAAGGCUGAAAGUUCAUUACCUAUGUCUAUAACAGUCGCCUCUAAGGCAUUUAAUUUAGUCUCAAUCCUUUCAUCAAUAUUUACUUGAUUACGCAGAGCCUUGGAAGCAUUUUGAGCUAAAUUAUUAAGAAAUUUUGCAUGCUGAAUAUUCUGAGACAAUGUCAGAGACGCAGACACAGUGGAGGCAAUAAAAGAGACUAGCGCCAAAACACCAACGAUUAUAACUCCAAUAGCACGUUUAGGUCUUGCUAGCUGGGCAUGAAUUUGCUGCAAGACUUGUAAACCAGUAUCAGCAUACCAUGGCUCUGAAAUAUUAGCAGGUAAUAAAACGAAAGAGGGCUGAUGAAGUAUCAGCACUCCUUUUCCUCCAUUAUACCUAGUAAUACAAUUGGUUAGGUUAUAUUUAUUACAAGUAACAAUAUAUCGGUCAUCUAUCCAUUUAACUUCUACAUUCCCAAUAAUUAAAACAUAAGGAGAUUGGACACAGGCUCGUAAGCCAUAGCAAGAUCCCUCUUUACAGUUCUUGCCAACAAAUUUUGGUAAAGGCUUGUCUGUAAAAUGUAAGAAUUCUGAGGCAGCAAUUAAACGCCAAACAUCCUUUUGAACACCACCUUCACUAUAAGUCAAAAUAUUACUAACAAAUCCUGCAGGUGUCAUAGCAGAAUUUCUUUGUAAUUGUCUCUUAUCAAUUUUUGGAGACCAGUCUAAAAUAUACCCACUAUCUUUAGACACCUUAUGUUGUACAGGAAAGGUAUUUACACAAUCCAUCCAUCUAGGAAAGGUGCCAAUCUCAAUUGUAGAACUAUUUAGACAGUGGGGUAUCCGUGGGGGUUUUGCAGAAAUGACUGGCUUGUUAUGGGAAAGUCCCAUCUUAAUUACUGAUCUAGUAUAAGGUUUUAAGUCCCCAUAAAUAGAAUUAUUUGUCAGUCUAGGUCUACCAGUCGCUGUCUUUUCUUCGAAUGAUACUUUCAGACAGCCAGCAUGUUUAUCAUGGGACCAACACAAAGGUAAUUGGGCACUGUAGCCAGAAUAAUUAAAUCUAGUCACAUGAUUGGGAGUAAUAUGAGUAUCUGUAAAUCCUCCCAUCAUGAAUGAGUCAUUAGUAAAUACUGGAAUGGAUUCUCCAGUCCACACAGCUGGGUGUACCAGGGGUGGAUCUGGGAAAUAUGUCCAGUAAGUGUCUACUUGAUUCCCCUUUACCUGACAGCCCAGCAGGGCAAUUACUGUUGCUACCAUCAUCACUGGGGUCCUGUUCUCUCCUAGGUGUCAAAGUAUUCGGGAAGCCUGGGUUGUUAGCUUCUUCGCGUCUUCCCAUGAAAUCAGCUUUUCGACUGGGUCAAUCUGGUCUUUCUUCAUCUUUUUCCGAUAUCUCUUCCUUUUGGAUAGGGGCUCCUCCGGGUCGAUCCUCAGUCGCUUGAAUCUGGGUUCUAUCUCUUCCAUGUCUGAUUGCGCAUUCAGGCACCCAAAUAGGACGAAAAGCACCUUCUGGGAAAAUACAAGCAUGACCUGUCCCCCACAUAAUCACUGGAUCUGGGCCUUUCCACUGACCGGUCUGUAAAUCUUUCCACAAAACUCUGCCUAAAGGGCCUGUUACUGAGGGAGACAUUUGUCUCUCAGCAGCAGUGUGACCUUCAGCGUCACAGUUUAAAAAAUUUAAAACAAACAAAGCAUGAUUAAGGCUAUUUUGGGGAGUCAUAACCCUAUUCCCCCCCCUUUAAUUUUUGUAAUUGAAGCUUAAUAGAUAAAUGAACUCAUUCCACAAUGGCUUGACCUUGGGGGUUAUAAGGAAUUCCUGUUUUAUGAUCAAUUUGAAAAUCUUGGCAAAAUUAUUGAAAAGAAGAGCUUACGUAAGCUGGAGCAUUAUCUGUUUUAAUCUGCAUAGGGCACCCUAACACAGAAAAAGCUGCUAGGCAAUGAGAAAUUACAUUCUGAGUAUUUUCCUUAGUACGUGCUGUGGCAAAAAUAAAUCUAGAAUAAGUGUCCACUAUGACAUGCACAUAACAUUGCUUACCAAAUUGAGGAAUAUGAGUUACAUCCAUUUGCCAUAUUUGAUUUGGUUUUAAUCCACGGGGAUUUACCCCUGAUGGUAAAGAUGGAGUGUGAAUAACACACUUAGGGCAUUGGCUUACAAUCUGACGAGCUUGUUCUCUAAUAAUAUUAAAUUGUUUACGUAAGCUAGAAGCAUUUUGAUUAUGUAAGGAAUGGGAAGCUAGUGCACAGUCAUAUGAAGACAUCUGUUGACAAAAAGUUACUAAUUUAUCAAUUUUGUCAUUACCUGAAACUAAGCGUCCUGGAAGAUUAGUAUGAGCUCGUAUGUGUCCUAUGAAACAUGGGUACUUUCGCAUUAGCACUGCCUUCUGUAAAUUAUGAAAUAAUUUAAAUAACUCUUGUGAUGAAGUAUACCCAAUAACUGAAGUUUCAAUAUUUUAAGUAACUCUGACUGCAUAUAAGCUGUCAGAAUAAAUAUUAAUAGGCUCAUUUGAAAAGUAAUUUAAGGCACAAAUCAGAGCUUGAAGCUCUGCUCUUUGGGCAGAAGUAUAAGAAGUUUGUAUUACCUCUGUGUGAACACGACUAUAAAAACCUGCUUUACCUGAGCUCGAACCAUCAGUGAACACUGAUAAAGCUUCAUCUAUAGGAUGUGCACGUACAAUCUUUGGAAAAAUAAGUGACGUUAAUGAUGCAAAUUGUAUAAUCUUAUCACGAGGGUAAUGGCUAUCUAUCUGGCCAGGAAAAUCAGCAAAGGCUAUCUGCCAUAAGCUAGAAGUUUGAAAAAGCCAAUUAGUCUGUUGAACAGAAAAUGGAAUGAUUAUGAUAUCAGGCUCAGAUCCAAUUAAUUGUAAAAUCCUAGUUCUACCUUUAAUUACUAAUUGAGCUAUGGAAUCAUGAAAAGGAAUUAAUGUUUUUUGAGGGGAGUGGGAUAAAUAAAUCCACUCAAUAACUCCUAAUAGCUUUUGAAAAUCAUUAAGGGUUUGUACGGAAACUAUUUGUUCCGCUCCGGUAAAAUUAAAGAUGGCGGCCCCCAUGGUCGGCGCGAUGACGUCACAUUGCGCGACCAUCACCUACUUCCUCAUUCUCGGCUGGGGGAGGGGCCGACCGGAAGUUUGUGUUUCGGCCAGGCGGAAAUGAUGACAAGAAGGCGGGCUCAUCCGCGCCAUCUUGAUCUGCCACGUGGGAUUGAGUCCUGCAAUAUCUAUUAUCACCAGUAGAUGGAGCCCUGAACUUAAAAUUGCGCAUGUGACACUCGCGCACAAAAUGAUUACUUUUCCCGCAAACAUAGCAUCUCCCGCGGGGCUUUUGUACUAAAUCUUGUGGCCUUAAGGUUUCUUUUAGUGCCGCAGCUAGGGCUACUGUCGGCAAAUGGGUAGAGUCUAUGUCAGAACAUAAGCAGAUAAACUCAGAAACUGUCCCUUUUUUACGGUGUGGCCUAAGAACGUCCUGACAAUAGUUAUUUGCAUUUUCAAAUGCCAAUUGUUUAACAAUAAACUCACAAGCCCCCGGGUCCCCGAGCGACCUGUUUGCGGCCUGGUACAAUCAGGCUACGAAAUCUGAGUAAGGUUCAUUCGCACCCUGCCUGAUUUUGGUAAGACCUAAAUUGGAUUGGUCUUUAGAGACAAUCUGUUUCCAGGCACGUUUCGCAAAUCAGUUAUUUGAUUGUAUACUACAAAUUCAUAAUUUAACUGUCUUUCUAAAUCAGUAAAUUCACCUGUUCCUUAAAACAUUUCUACCGGUGUCUCUAAAUUUCGUCUUCUAUUUCUUUCUGCCUGUUCAGUACAAAAAUCAGUCCAAUAAGUACGCCAGAGCAAGAAAUCUCCCCCACUCAGGCAAGAUCUAGCUAAAGAAAUCCAAUCACUAGGAGGAAGGGGCUGCUAGCAAAUAUUUUCUAUCAGGCUCUGUACAAAAGGCGAAUUUGGACCAUACGUCUCACAUGCACUUUUUAGUUCCUUAAUGGUUUUAAAUGGGAUUACAGUAUGAACUCUAACUCUCUGAUCUUGCUCAUUAACUU
rnacentral:lncRNA from 1 species